UGUAGGAGUGAGCCUGCUCGCGAUAGCGGUAUGCCAGUCACUAUCGAAUUGACUGAUCCACCGCUAUCGCGAGCAGGCUCACUCCUACA
rnacentral:misc_RNA from 1 species